CCUACGGGAGGCAGCAGUGGGGAAUAUUGCACAAUGGGGGGAACCCUGAUGCAGCGACGCCGCGUGAGUGAAGGAGUAUCUCGGUACGUAAAGCUCUAUCAGCAGGGAAGAAAAUGACGGUAGCUGACUAAAAAGCCCCAGCUAACUACGGUCCAGCAGCCGCGGGAAUACGUAGGGGGCAAGCGUUAUCCGGAUUUACUGGGUGUAAAGGGAGCGUAGACGGCACUGCAAGUCCGGAGUGAAAGCCCAAGGCUUAACCAUGGGACUGCUCUGGAAACUGUGGAGCUUGAGUGCGGGAGGGGCAGGCGGAAUUCCUAGUGGAGCGGUGAAAUGCGUAGAUAUUAGGAGGAACACCGGAGGCGAAGGCGGCCUGCUGGACCGUAACUGACGUUGAGGCUCGAAAGCGUGGGGAGCAAACAGGAUUAGAUACCCGUGUAGUC
rnacentral:rRNA from 1 species